UACGUAGGGUGCGAGCGUUAAUCGGAAUUACUGGGCGUAAAGCGUGCGCAGGCGGUUCGUUGUGUCGGCGGUGAAAGCCCCGGGCUUAACCUGGGAAUGGCCGUCGAAACUGGCGAACUGGAGUGUGGCAGAGGGGGGUGGAAUCCGCGUGUAGCAGUGAAAUGCGUAGAGAUGCGGAGGAACACCGAUGGCGAAGGCAGCCCCCUGGGCUGACACUGACGCUCAGGCACCGAAAGCGUGGGGAGCAAACAGG
rnacentral:rRNA from 1 species